rnacentral:rRNA from 1 species
UACGGGGGGGGCAAGCGUUGUUCGGAAUUACUGGGCGUAAAGGGUUCGUAGGUGGCUCGCUAAGUCAGACGUGAAAUCCCUCAGCUUAACUGGGGAACUGCGUCUGAGACUGGCAAGCUCGAGUGCAGGAGAGGAACGCGGAAUUCCAGGUGUAGCGGUGAAAUGCGUAGAUAUCUGGAGGAACACCCGUGGCGAAGGCGGCUCUCUGGAACGGUACUGACGCUGAGACGCGAAAGCGUGGGGAGCGAACAGG